rnacentral:rRNA from 1 species
AGCAGCCGCGGUAAUUCCAGCUCCAAUAGCGUAUAUUAAAGUUGUUGCACUUAAAAAGCUCGUAGUUGAAUUUCGGGUUCAGUAGAUUGGUCGUGCCACUGGUAUGUACUGGUCUUACUGGCUCCUCCUUCCUGAUGAACCGUAAUGCCAUUAAUUUGGUGUUGCGGGGAGACUGGACUGUUACUUUGAAAAAAUUAGAGUGUUUAAAGCAGGCUAACGCUUGAAUACAUUAGCAUGGAAUAAUGAAAUAGGACGUUCGAUCUUAUUUUGUUGGUUUCUAGGAUUGACGUAAUGAUUAAUAGGGAUAGUUGGGGGCAUUAGUAUUCAAUUGUCAGAGGUGAAAUUCUUGGAUUUAU